GUGCUUGCUUUGGCAGCACAUAUACUAAAAUUGGGACAAUACAGGGAAGAUUGGCAUGGCCCUGGUGUAAGGAUGACACACAAAGUCGUGAAGCAUUCCAUAUUUUU